rnacentral:rRNA from 1 species
CCCGAGGAUGGGCCGGCGGCCGAUUAGGUAGUUGGUGGGGUAACGGCCCACCAAGCCGAAGAUCGGUACGGGCUGUGAGAGCAGGAGCCCGGAGAUGGACACUGAGACACGGGUCCAGGCCCUACGGGGCGCAGCAGGCGCGAAACCUCCGCAAUGCGGGAAACCGCGACGGGGGGACCCCGAGUGCCGUGGCAUCGCCACGGCUUUUCCGGAGUGUAAAAAGCUCCGGGAAUAAGGGCUGGGCAAGGCCGGUGGCAGCCGCCGCGGUAAUACCGGCGGCCCGAGUGGUGGCCGCUAUUAUUGGGCCUAAAGCGUCCGUAGCCGGGCCCGUAAGUCCCUGGCGAAAUCCCACGGCUCAACCGUGGGGCUUGCUGGGGAUACUGCGGGCCUUGGGACCGGGAGAGGCGGGGGGUACCCCUGGGGUAGGGGUGAAAUCCUAUAAUCCCAGGGGGACCGCCAGUGGCGAAGGCGCCCCGCUGGAACGGGUCCGACGGUGAGGGACGAAGGCCAGGGGAGCAAACCGGAUUAGAUACCCGGGUAGUCCUGGCUGUAAAGGAUGCGGGCUAGGUGUCGGGUGAGCUUCGGGCUCGCCCGGUGCCGUAGGGAAGCCGUUAAGCCCGCCGCCUGGGGAGUACGGCCGCAAGGCUGAAACUUAAAGGAAUUGGCGGGGGAGCACUACAAGGGGUGGAGCGUGCGGUUUAAUUGGAUUCAACGCCGGGAACCUCACCGGGGGCGACGGCAGGAUGAAGGCCAGGCUGAAGGUCUUGCCGGACACGCCGAGAGGAGGUGCAUGGCCGCCGUCAGCUCGUACCGUGAGGCGUCCACUUAAGUGUGGUAACGAGCGAGACCCGCGCCCCCAGUUGCCAGCCCUUCCCGCUGGGAAGGGGGCACUCUGGGGGGACUGCCGGCGAUAAGCCGGAGGAAGGAGCGGGCGACGGUAGGUCAGUAUGCCCCGAAACCCCCGGGCUACACGCGCGCUACAAUGGGCGGGACAAUGGGAUCCGACCCCGAAAGGGGAAGGGAAUCCCCUAAACCCGCCCCCAGUUCGGAUCGCGGG